AACGAACGCUGGCGGCGUGCUUAACACAUGCAAGUCGAACGCGAAAGUUUUCUUCGGAAAACGAGUAGAGUGGCGCACGGGUGAGUAACGCGUAAGUUAUCUACCCUCCCAUCUGGAAUAACUCACCGAAAGGUGUGCUAAUACCGGAUACGUUGGAAACAAGAAAGGUGGCCUCUAUUUAUAAGCUACCGUGGGGGGAUGAGCUUGCGUACCAUUAGCUAGUUGGUAGGGUAAUGGCCUACCAAGGCAACGAUGGUUAGCGGGUCUGAGAGGAUGAUCCGCCACACUGGAACUGGAACACGGACCAGACUCCUACGGGAGGCAGCAGUGAGGAAUAUUGCGCAAUGGGGGAAACCCUGACGCAGCGACGCCGCGUGGAUGAUGAAGGCCCUUGGGUCGUAAAAUCCUGUCAGUUGGGAAGAAAUGCAUAUUGGCCAAUACCCAUUAUGUUUGACGGUACCAGCAAAGGAAGCACCGGCUAACUCCGUGCCAGCAGCCGCGGUAAUGUCAGU
rnacentral:rRNA from 1 species